rfam:Setaria italica strain Yugu1 chromosome IV, whole genome shotgun sequence.
AGUUGGCAGUGAUGAUACGACCUUUCAGCUUAAAAUGCAGUUUUGCUUCUGAGAAUUCGUACCAGAUAAAGCUGGUAUUGGUCUCACGUUU